UACGAAGGGGGCUAGCGUUGCUCGGAAUCACUGGGCGUAAAGCGCACGUAGGCGGACCAUUAAGUCAGGGGUGAAAGCCUGGAGCUCAACUCCAGAACUGCCUUUGAUACUGAUGGUCUCGAGUUCGGAAGAGGUUGGUGGAACUGCGAGUGUAGAGGUGAAAUUCGUAGAUAUUCGCAAGAACACCAGUGGCGAAGGCGGCCAACUGGUCCGAUACUGACGCUGAGGUGCGAAAGCGUGGGGAGCAAACAGG
rnacentral:rRNA from 1 species